UAACAUUUGCUAAAUCACUUCAAAACAAUUGGGCGGUGAAUGAAAGAAAACUGAGGAGGAACUAUCAGCUAAUAAACUAAGCUGUGGCUGAGGAAACAAAUAGAAAUUUGCUUGCUAAGUCCAAGCGGUGACCGAGAGGAAACAAGGAGAAGCUAUCUGCCAAUAUAUUUGGGCGGUGGCCGAGAGUAAAAACUGAGAGAGAGUGGGAGAGAAAGGUUGGCUAGCUUCAUCACCAACUAACCAAAAAACAAGGAAGAGUAACGCGAGGGAAUAACGGGAGCUGUUAGAAGGAGCCAGAGCAGAGGACCGAAAGACUAGCUGCAAUUCACUGAUCCUAUGUGGAAAGGUAAAAAUUCUGCAAUCUUCUCUUGUACAGCUAAUACACAUAAAGUUUAAGCUGUAUGUUGAAGUUUAGCAAAGAAAAUGAGUCCCUCACUAAGGUAAAAUUCUGUUUAGAGGAUAUUCAAGUGUUGCUGUACUCCAACAACAGCACUCGACUAUCAUGUACGUUGAUGCAGCAGUGGACCAGCGAAGAGAUAAGUUUGGCAUUGGUAUAGCAGCUAAGGCUAAUGAGGGAAAUCUAAUCUCUACAUGGUCAAUCCCAACCGCAGCUAAAGGAGAGGCUGCAAUCAUGGAAGCUCAUGCUAUCAGAACUGCCUUGCUCAAAGCAUUGAAGGAAAAUUGGACGUCCAUCUUGGUACUUUCUGAUUGCAAAGUUCUUGUUGACAAAUUGAAUCUUAGGAAUGAGGACCUAUCUGACAUAAACAUUAUCCUGAGAGAUAUCAGGACAUUGAGUAGGUCUUUUUGGCGUUGUACUUUCU
rnacentral:lncRNA from 1 species